rnacentral:tRNA from 1 species
GGCCCCGUAGUUCAACGGAUAGAAUAGAAGUUUCCUAAACUUUAGAUACGCGUUCGAUUCGCGUCGGGGCUA